AUAAUAAGGAGCAUGUGUACAAUUAAAGUUUCAUGUUGACCAGACUUCAACUUCAUCAAAUAAUACCUUGACAACAAACUUUUACCAGUGAAGUGGGACAGACAGUCGGACAAUUGGAUAGAUAAACAGACACUCGACCCAGAAAACAUAAUGCCAAUAAAUGGGGCAUAAAAAAAAACAUCGCAAACCACCAACAAUAUUAAACUCUACAAUCUUAAAUUGUGAUGAUUCAUGAUAGAUACAUAAAAGAAAAGAAAAUAAACAUGUUAUGUAAA
rnacentral:lncRNA from 1 species